CAAGGAAUUUAGUUUCCUGGAGGAAGCCUUUCAAACCAUAUAAAAGAUCACACGGUCCAAGGAUACAGACAUCUACUCAAGGACUCUGCCUACCACACAGGUUCCUCUUGGCAAUUGCGGAUUCACAGCUUGAUAGUCAAAAGGAUGUGUUCUCGUCAGGAAAAAGAUGGCUGCUGUCGUCCUCAGGAUUCCUCAAGUUACCGGGGUGGAAGUUCUUGCUGUGGCUCCAGUGAUAAUAUUGACUAUGAUGUGAAACCUCUGCCUACUUGGGGAAAGCAACCUCCAAUGCUGGUCCCUGCUCCUGGCCAAAGUCAAGCUCCUGUGUUUGUCCCUCUUCCUAGCCAAAAACAACCUGGUGUGUUUGUACCGACUCCUGGCCCGAAACAACCUGGUGUGUUCGUCCCGACUCCUGGUCCGAAACAACCUGGUGUGUUCGUCCCGACUCCUGGCCCGAAACAACCUGGUGUGUUCGUCCCAACUCCUGGCCAAAACCAGCCUCCUGUGUUCGUCCCAGCUCCUGGCCCAAAACAACCUGGUGUGUUUGUCCCAGUUCCUGAACAACCCCCUUUCCAACCCCAGAUGAGGCAGCAGGUUAAGCAGCCUCCCCAAUGGCCUUCUCAGCUAAAGUAGAUAAUGGAAAAAUGCAUGAUUCGAGAUCGAAUUGCUGCAGGAUUCUCUUCUGUUCAACCUGCCGAAACAUUCUGCUUGUAUAAUAUUUACAUUCUAUCAUAAAAUUACAACAGUGCUCUUCUCUACAGAAAUGCAUGUACUUUAUAUCCACUCUGUGAUACUUCAUUAAUACAAUCCAUCUCCCAUUUUAGCCCUUAAGUGGCCAAUGAGAAUCAUUAAAAUAUAUAUUUCAUUCCGA